CUUCGGUUGAGAGAGAGAGAGAGAGAGAGGGGCUGCGAAUCACUGCGUGUGUUCAGCCAGCGCGGAAAAAAAUAUUUCAUCCAGAGUCUGAGUCACUGGUGUCUGAGGACGAAGAGGAUGAGGACGAGGAGGAAGAGGAGGAGUCCGAACUGGAGCUGCUGCCGCUGAGGCGAAGGGGCUGGGCGUGUGUCUCCGCGGGGUUGGGCUUCUCCGCUGAGAGGACGUUUGACAAGUUUCUUGCCCGAGUUGAGCUGACCGCUGACGUCCUGCAGCCUCCUCUCCAGCUCCAGUCGCUUCUCCAGGGUCAGCUCCUCUUUGGACUUGCCGCCGUUCUUUGCCGCUGAUGGACCAUAAACAAUGUCUGUCAAGUCACAUAACAGCCUUGAAACAACAAAAACAGGAGUUGAUGUAGGGGUGGGCCGAUAUCAAAAUAUAUCAGCAUAGGGUUGGACGGUAUACCGGAACUAAUAAAGUACUGCUGUACUCAUGACUCAAGAACUGUAUUAUACUGCUUAUGAAUAAUACCUGAACUUUUUUUUCCCAUCACGCCGUGACAUUGCUGGUAAAACAAGCAGAGGCACAUGUUUGACAACGCACAGGUACACAGUACUUGCAAGCAGAAACAGUGUGAAGACAGAAAAGGGAGAAUGGAUGCAUGUUGGCUUAAAAUCUAACAAUAAAGAUAAAGCUAUAAACACGGAAGCGCCGCUCUGCAAACGGUGCUUUUACAAAUGGCUAGCUAACUAGCAGCUAACGCCCAUAAUUCUACAUCACUUUGAUUGAUUUAAACUUUUAUUAGUAGAUUGCAUAGUACAGCAAGCUCGCGAUCCUAAAUGUAAACAAAUGUCAUGACAGCCACAGACAUCCACUGAUACAAACUACAAGUGCCGUAUAUCGUCGAUACUGUAUUGAUAACAUCUAUAUUUUUUAUUAUCACAAAAUCAUUUGUAAAUGUUUUAUUGUUUAUAAAGUCAGAAAAUACAUCUCUGGACACAUUGAGGACCAAUGUAUGAUCCUGUAACUACUUGGUAUUGGAUUGAUACCAGAAUUUGAGGUAUCACUCAAAUCUUAUGUCAAGUAUUAAACAUCAAUCCAACCAUCCAUUUUCUCAACAGAAGAAAAAAAUAUUACAUUUUAACAUAAGUGUUGAUGGAACAUGUUAAAACGGAAAGUAAGCAGAUAUUAACAGAAUGAAAAGAGCAAAGCUCCCUCCACCCGUUCUCACCACGUUCUACAGAGGCACUAUAGAGAGCCUACUGACCAACAGCAUCUCUGUCUGGACUGGAGCCUGCAGUGUCUCAGAUUGGAAAGUCUCUGCAGAGAGUGGUGAGGACGGCGGAAAAGAUCAUCAGAACUCCUCUUCCUCCUAAUCCAGGAGAUCGUAAAAAGCCGCUGCCUGACCAGGGCUCAGAAAAUCUGCAGAGACUCCUCUCACCCCCACUGCUGGACUUUAGAAAGAGGUUCCACAGCCUCUGUAGCAGAACCUCCAGGUUCUGUAACAGCUUCUUCCCUCGGGCCGUUAAACUCUCUUGAACACAUUAAAAUAAUCCCCUCAAUUCCCCAGCAAAAAUGGAUGAACUCGCUGAACUAUAAAGACAAUAUAACAUACAUCCAUAAACGUGGAUGCAUAUACAAAAGUGCAAUAUAUUUAUCUGUACAGUAAUCUAAUUAUUUAUAUCUGCACCUUAUUGCUCUGUUAUCCUGCAUUACCAUGAGCUAAUGCAACUAAAUUUCGUUCUUAUCUGUACUGCAAAGUUAAAAUUUGAAUGACAAUUAAAGGAAGUCUAAGUUUAAUUAAAUGAACAAGUAGAUUAAUAUUCAAUCUUCUACAGCUUGUUCCUCAUAAUGUUGACAAAGUAAUAGAAUGGAAAAUGACACAAUUUGCUACUGCAUACGUCAGCAACCAAAUUAGGAACCUUUGUUUGCUUGCUUGCUUGCUUACUUACUACUAAAAGUUGUCUCGUAUGUUUACUAUUUUAUUUAAUGAUUUUUUUAUUUUAUUUGAUUGCAAUAAGAAACAAAUUUAAUGUGUCAUGACAUGUUCUGUUAAAAUAAAGCGAAUAAUGACAA